rnacentral:tRNA from 1 species
AUUUAAAUAGUCUAUAUAGGAUAUAACAUUGAAGCUGUUAGGGAAAUUUUAUAUUUUUGAAUG